rnacentral:rRNA from 1 species
UACGGGGGGGGCAAGCGUUGUUCGGAAUUACUGGGCGUAAAGGGCUCGUAGGCGGCCCCGUAAGUCAGACGUGAAAGCCCUCGGCUCAACCGGGGAAUGGCGUCUGAGACUGAGGGGCUGGAAUCCGGGAGAGGGAUGCGGAAUUCCAGGUGUAGCGGUGAAAUGCGUAGAUAUCUGGAGGAACACCGGUGGCGAAGGCGGCAUCCUGGACCGGUAUUGACGCUGAGGAGCGAAAGCCAGGGGAGCAAACGGG